GAUGAACGCUAGCGGCAGGCCUAACACAUGCAAGUCGAGGGGUAGACAUUUUCGGAUGUUGAGACCGGCGCACGGGUGCGUAACGCGUAUGCAAUCUACCUUUUACUAAGGGAUAGCCCAGAGAAAUUUGGAUUAAUACCUUAUAGUAUGUUUGAAUGGCAUCGUUUAAACAUUAAAGAUUUAUUGGUAAAAGAUGAGCAUGCGUCCCAUUAGUUAGUUGGUAAGGUAACGGCUUACCAAGACGAUGAUGGUUAGGGGUCCUGAGAGGGAGAUCCCCCACACUGGUACUGAGACACGGACCAGACUCCUACGGGAGGCAGCAGUGAGGAAUAUUGGUCAAUGGAGGCAACUCUGAACGGCCAUGCCGCGUGCAGGAUGACGGUCCUAUGGAUUGUAAACUGCUUUUGUACAGGAAGAAAAAGAGUUACGUGUAGCUUAUCGACGGUACUGUAAGAAUAAGGAUCGGCUAACUCCGUGCCAGCCGCCGCGGUAA
rnacentral:rRNA from 1 species